CUGCAGGAAGCGCAAUGC
rnacentral:snRNA from 1 species